CGCACCUUGCGCUCCUUGGUAUUCCGAGGAGCAUGCCUGUUUGAGUGUCAGUAAAUUCUCAAACCCUUCAGCUGUUGUUGUUGGGCUUGGAUGUGGAGGUGUUGCCAGUCUUUAUAGAUUGGCUCCUCUGAAAUGUAUUAGCAGAACUGUUUGCAAUCUGUUAUUGGUGUGAUAAUUAUCAGUGCCAUUGGAUUGCUCUCUAUUUUUGUUCAGCUGCUAACUGUCCAUAAAAGGACAACCAUUACUGAAUAUUUGACCUCAAAUCAGGUAGGACUACCCGCUGAACUUAA
rnacentral:misc_RNA from 1 species